rnacentral:tRNA from 2 species
GGAGAUGUAGCUCAGUGGUGGAGUGCUUGCCUAGCAUGAGUGAGGCCCUGGGUUCAAUCCCCAGCACCA